UACUGUUUGGCAAUAAAAAGCAAUGAAGUUCUGAUACACUCUACCACGAGUGAACCUUGAAAUCAUCAUGCUAAGUGAAAGAAGUCAGUCACGAAAGACCACGCCUGUGUUACUCAGUGAAGAUAAAGGUUUAAAAAUUCUAAAAUCCUUAGAAGAGACUUGUAUAAAGGAAACUGAAAAUGCCUGACUAUGGAGUCACCAAUUUAGAGACUAAAAGAAACUUUGGGUUUUCAGUGGCAAAGGGAGAAAGAGAAAGAAGGAUUUCAGCACGCCUGGAAAUGGCAGGAAGUGUAAGAAAAUCUGGAAUCCAGGAACAUUUAAUCACGCCACAUUAUGAGGUCACUCUCUCUGGAUCAGGAUGUGACCAACUUUUGUGGAGUCGAGUCAGUUGGCUUCAUUAUUCCCCUGCAACAUUUCCUUUGCACUCGUCGAUUUCCAUGGCUACAUGAUGAUUACUUCCUGAGAAACAAAGGAACACAUGUGUUUGGAAGUAAAAAGGAAGCAUACAGAUCACCUAUUGAACCACAGCCCUGUAAAACCUGG
ensembl:lncRNA